UUGCAGCUGCGGUUGUAAGGU
rnacentral:miRNA from 1 species